CCUUAUAUCCAGCUUAAACUGGCUGUUUAUAAUACUCGCUCAUCCCUGCCUUAUACUGAUUGUGUACAAGGCAAUACAAUGGGUUGAUUAAGACAAGCCAAGGAGGCUGAGCCUUGAAGCUGGGAGGAGUCAGUUUUCCUCACAGUUGUUUUAAUGACUAACAGCAAAAUCUUGAGCCCAAAUUUCAAAUUUAGAUGUCAGAGGAAAAAGAAAAAUUAUUCUGGUUAGGCAAACCAAAAAGGAAAAGGGAGAGGAAGAAAGAAAAAGGAAAAACUAUAGCGAUGAUUCUCAUUUUGGCUGCACAUGAGAAUCACCUGGAAGCAUUUACAAAUUUCAACAUAGCGGCCAAAGCACUGGGUGAGGGCAAUGCUUUUCAAGGUUCCAUAGUUGGUUCCAGUGUGCAGUUCCGUGAGACCACCACAAUGCGUGGGAAGAGUUUAUUACAGGAAGACAGAACUAAUAUCUGUCAGCUUCUCUUAUCAGCUAAAAAUUAAAGAAGGCAACUUCUCUUCUUCUUAAAAAAUUACAACCCACAGCUAUUGUCAGUAUAAUCAUUCAAGGUCUAUGGUCACUACAGAGCAUCGAGGAGAGCUUCCUGUGCUAUACGCUCAGUUGGUAAAGAAUCUGCCUGCAAUGCAGGAGACCUGGGUUUGAUUCCUGGGUCAGGAAGAUCCCCUGGAGAAGGAAAUGGCAAUCCACUUCAGUAUUCUUGCCUGCAUAAUCCCAUGGACUGAAGAGCCUGGCAGGCUACAGUCCAUGGGG
ensembl:lncRNA